rnacentral:sRNA from 1 species
AUCAUUGCAGGUAGUGAUACGCUGUAUAAUCGUGUAACCGAAUUUACGUUUAAGUGUCAUGUUUAUGGCACCGGCCACGAUGCCGCCGUAAGGCGGUUUUUU